CAGCCGUGAUCAUCGCUGCUGUUGCUGUUCCACGUUUUUCUGGCCCCCGCGUGCCCCACCCCUUUCCUCUUCACGCCCCUCUCAGCGCGUGGCCUUGCACACACGCACACACACGCGCGAGACGACCGUAAUCAGCACGACCGCUUCCCUGGCAGCCUUCCUCCUUUUCGUUGCUUAUAGUGUAUGCGGUGCCGACGCGCUGCUCGGCCUAUCCCGUCCUCCCCACCCCCCCCCGACACACACACACUCCAAUGUGGUCGCCCUCGUCCUCUGCGCCGCAGACCUCCGUCGACGUCGCGGCGGGCCAGCGUGGCCGCCGCGGUGUCCCCACCGCCAGUGGGAGAGACGUCACACCAUACGCGAUGGGGAUGGAUUUGGCACUGCCGGCCGGCCCCACCGGUGCGCGAGGCGCAGGACGCGUCUCGGCGGCUCGGCGGUCGUUGGCGGACGCAGCGCCGCCGCCGUCUCACAACGUACUUGUCGACGUGGACGGCCUGCGGUGCGAGGUGCGCUCAAUGCGCAGCGUGCCGCAUGCGCUGUACAGCACCCCAUCCGUCUCCCACGUCCUCGCCACGUACGUCCAGCAGCUCAUCGACGACUUCACCCGCUCGCUGCUGCUCUGCCGGCCCGCCCAGCGGAGCUCCAGCAGCAUCAGCAGUCGCGUCAUCCAGGCAGAGAGUGGCGAUCCGCAGCGACAGAAACAGCUGCAGUCCACCACCACCACCACACUCUGCGCUGCGGACCUCACGGUGGACGGCGCCCUAUCUUCAGAAGACGAGGAAACGUACCUGCUGUUGCGCCUGUGUCACCUCCACAAGGCAGAGCUCCAGCAGCAGCAGCAGCAGCAGCAGCCGUCGGAGUCCAGCGGCGGUGACGCCUCCGCGAUGGCGGGGGGGUGGCGGAUGGCUGGUGCGAACACAGGGUCUGUAGCAGAGCAGCUGAUUGCACUCUUCGCUGCUGCGGAUCGGCCGUGUUGUCGACAUGGGCCGAACGGCGGUGCCAGGGAGGAGGACAGUGAGCAGCACGACGCUGCGGUGCUGAUGCCACCGCUGCUGUCCUCCCUCUUGCUGUUUAAGCCGAUGCUGCACGACAUGCGGUACCUGGCGCAGCAUCUUCUUCUGCCGCGACACGCCUGGCAACACCACCAGCGGGAGUGGGUCAUUGUGUAUGAAGAUGUCGCCGUGACGCUGCGCGACCGCCUCUCUCGCUACCGCCGUGCCUCGAUGCGUAGCAGAGGGCGAGAUGGUGAAGUAGUGACCAACGACGAGGAUGGCACGGAGGACCGGGACGCCGCCAGCAUCCUCACAGGCAUGCAGCGGCUGUUUCCGGCGUCUGAGCUGCAGCACCUCUGGCACACCCUAUGGGAGCUGCUUGGCGCCGCGUGGCGCCAGCGCGACCGCCUCUGGGGUGCCUACCGCUACCUGCACGGCCCACGCCGUCUGCCUCCGCUGUGUCUGAGUGGACAAGCGCCGUGCGCGGUGCCGCCUGGCGUCCACGCAUGCCCAAUCAUGCGCGAGCAGUACGAGGCGUAUAUUGCCCGCGUGCAUGCCUUGACAGCCUCCCCCUCCCACGCUGUGCCCGAUGCGCCGGCGGCACCGCACGCGGAGGACAGCUGCGCCUUCGGCCCCUUCACGAGCGCCGAUAUCGGCAUCUCGGCACGGCGGCUGUACGUGCUGCGGCAGCCGCUAGCGGCGGUGCUGCGGACGCUGCGGGUGUCAGUUCCUCCAGCCGGUCGUGACCCUCUCGUCACCUCCGCCACCGCCCCUGUUGGCUUCCAGUACGUCGACGACCCUGUGCCCAACGGACAGGCAAACACGCCGGCGCCGACGACGGACGCGGCAACGCCUCUCGUCGUCCCGCUCUUCGACACCACCAACCAGGACGCGCAGCUGGCUGCAGCAGCGGUACCGUACGUGUCUCCGGAGGUGUACGUGUCGCUGCAGCAAGAGCGGCAGCGACAGCGACGGCGAGCUGCCUCGUGUAGUGCAUUGCCGGUGGUCUCGUGGCCGCCCGUGCACUCCUUCUCUGACGACGUGUGGAACGCGGCGGUUGUCGUGCUGGAGGCGGCGCUCAGCGGCUUCUGCGCGACGGAUGCAUCCAUGUGCCACCUCGCGCUGCCAUCCGUUCACAGCAGCGGCGUCGAUCUACUCGAUGAGCGAACGGCAAUGUCGCGCUCCUCGUCAUCGUCUUCGGUGUACUCGGGGGUGCUGCUGCUGCUGACGGAGCGCCAUGUGCUGCCGAGGGCUGCGGCGCACAACUUUCUAUAUGCGGCGCUGUACCAUCUGCAGGUGGCGCUGAACAAGGGCGGUUGCGAGGAUGUCGACAAUCAUGGCGGCAUCGACGGCGCCAAGGCGCUCCGGCAAGGGAGUGGCAGCGGCGACGGUACGGCGGCAGCGGUACUACCAUCGCCGACGCGCCUUGCUCGCGAAUGGGUGCGCUACCUCUGCAGCGCCUACGGGCCGGCAUGUCUGAAGGACGGCGGGAUCUUGGCAGAGGUGGCCAGUAAGGGGCUCUGCUGGCGCCGGUCGGAGCGGUGGAACGCGUUCGGGAUGGCCCACGUCACGGCCACGACGGCGAGUACGACGGCCGCUUGUGCGGAUGGCUGGCCAUCCGCCUCGUCGUUCACGCCACUGGAGACAGUCGGCGGCGCGAGCGGCAACAGCCGUGCGCCGGCGGCUGCGGCGGAGCAGCACCGCUCGACUCACGCCGGUGGCGGCCCGUCGUCCCCCGCUUACCUGUCGACCCCCGCGCCGCCGCUCGCAGAACACCUGAGCGGCAGACAUCACGGCCCUGCAGCGUUCGCCAUGCCCGCCCUUGCAGACACCUCCGUUGGUGUGGGCACACCGGGGGACGCCGACGGUGGCAGAGACGCAGCGGCGCUGUCGCGGCUGCCACAGCGGCUGGAUCGCACCUUCAACGCCCUCGACACGCCACUCCUGCGCCUACUGAGCCUCGAGCAUUACCGCGCAGCGCCCGAAGGAAAAGCUGGCAGUGCCGGCGUAUCGCCCGCGGGACCGAAGCUGAGCAGAGAGGCAGCAGCGACGGUGAACCGCCCCGCAUGCGGCGCCGCAGACGAUGCCGGCGACUUGUGGGCAGUCCUUUCCAGUUACCUUCGCCGCUGCACGAUGACAGCAGCAGCGACGGGCGCCUCAGCUACGCCUGCAGGGAAGGCGAACGGCGCUGUGACGGAAGCGGCUGACGCGGACUGUGUUGAUGAGCUGCUACGACUGCUUUUCUGCUGCCUUGUCCGCACAACGCGGUGCUACCGCGUCCACGAUGGCGCGCGCACCGCCUUCGCUGGCAGUGCUGCCUGCAAGGGCGAUGCGCCGGUGGAUGUGGAGUGGUGCCAGUACGCCGCCAUGAAUCACCCAUUCUUUCGCGGCGUCGCCGAGCGCGGCCUGCUGACAACGUACAUGACGGCUUCCUGCUGCAACGGCGGCGGCGGCGGCGGGGAGUUCAGCGAUUUCGCCUUUGCGACAGCGACUCUACCGGCGCUCAACCUUUAUGUCCCCGCUGCGGUGCUGCUGGCCACCGUGCGCGAGAUGGAGGCUACGUGGAAGGUGAGCGGCGUCGACGUCUGCUCCGAGCGUGUGGUGAAGCAGGCGACUUCCUUGCGUACGCUGAUCGGGGACGACAUGCGGGCCUGGGAGGCAAGCGCCGCGGCUCGCGGCGGUGGAAGCGGGGGUCGCAUGCAUCAGCAACAACAGCAGUACCUCCUGCUCGCGAACCCGUUCGUGGACAUGGCAGCGACGCUGCUGCCAUCACCGGUGCACCGCGCGCGGCGUGCCCUGGAUGGUGUCCUCUCCCCGAUAGACUUCGACCUUGCAGCGCAGCUCGACCACACGCACCAGCUGCGCCGCCUGUUGUACAGCGACAGCGAUGACGCCGCCGGCGAUGAUCGAGGGCGCGGCAAGAAAGGCGCAGCUGCUGCGCGUGUUCGAGCCUACCUGAAGUCCUUGCUGAUGCCGAACACUGAGCGCGGCACGGACGGCGUCGACUCUCACGUCGUCUACUCGCCCUUCUACCCGCUUCCUCCGACCCUCCGCGGAGAGGUGUGGGGGUGCCUCCUGUGCGUGCCGCCAUCCGCGUGCGCCCGGGAGGCCCUCCUCGCCCACGCCGUCCACCACACCGCCGCCAAGCCGACGCCGCACGACCGGCAGCUCUCGGUCGACAUUCCACGAUGCCACGCUUACCACCCGCUGCUCAGCUCCUCGUCUGGAUCUGCGCAGCUCAAGCGCAUCUUGCGGGCGUGGUUGUACCUCCACCCUGAGCACGCCUACUGGCAAGGGCUCGACAGCGUCUGUGCCGUCCUGCUGACCGUCAGCAACAGGGAUGAGGCGCUCGUGCUGGCGCAGCUCAACGCCCUCGUCAACCGCUUCAUCGCUCACGACGAGGACUGUGAGAGGCCUCGCGCCUCUGGCAUCGGCAGCGGCGCCGUCGAGGUGCCGUUCCAGGAUCGUAGCACGAUCCCUAGCGGUGACAGCAGUCUGGGCCCGCCCCGCGCCGGUGCCGCGACGUCGCCGCUGCCGCCGGCCAGGAAGCCGACCAUGGCGGAGCAGCUCCGCCGCCUCGUGGUCGUGCUACGCUACUGCGACCCGCUUCUGGCGCACUACCUCUUCGACGUCCUCGGCUGCACACCGGAGCUGUACGCCAUCAGCUGGCUGCUGACGCUCUUCUCGCACAGCCUGCCGACACGCAAGGUCUACCUCCUGUGGGACCUCCUGUUUGUGGAGGACGACGCUGCCUGCCUCGUAGUGCUCUGCGCCGUCGUCAUUAUUCACAAGCGCGAGGUCCUGCUGAGCACGGACUUCUCCGGCUGCCUUGCGUCCUUCAGCAGCGGCGCAUCCUCCAUAAAUGUCGCAGCUGCCGUCGGCGACGCGCGGUGGCUGAUGAGAGCUGUGCCGCCGUCGGUGCUAGCGCCGCCGCCGCCGGUGUCGUCGGACGACCGCAAGGAUGCGCAACAGUCGCUGUAUGGCUGUGGGCAUGACGAUGCCGGCGCAGCCAUCGGCCGCCCACUCGGCAGCAGCGGCGACGACGGCAGCGGUGUCGCCGCGGUGGCGCUCCUCGCCGUCGAGGACGUGGCCGCCGCGCUCGCAGCGUCCGCAGCAGCGAUCAGUGAAGGUGCUGACUGCGACAGGGAGGAGGGAAGCAGCGGGCCGCACUGGUUCGACAGCGGCGUCUACCUUGUGGAUGUGCGCGAGCAGCCGGCGGAGAAAGCCCUGCGGGAUUCGGUCCUCGGCGCCAUCAGCGUGCCGCUGUGCACAGCGGCACGUCGGAAGGCGCACGCCUCUGCAGGGUCAGGAGCGGCGCUUCAGCGUCGCGAGGUAUCUGAUGCGUGCGCCAGUGCAGUCGCCGACGAGGUUGGCGACGUUGACAGCGACGCUGCCGGUGCUGGAUGGGGUAUUGUGGAGCAGCAGGAGCGGAUGCAGGAGCAGCAGCGGGCGGAGCAGGACGCCGCGGCGCGGCAGGUCGAAGAUGCCGCAGCGGCCAUUGUCCGCCACGUCGGAAACCCGGCCAUGGCUGCCAUCAUACCACGAGUCUGGAGGGCCACCAAAAAUCAUGCUGCACCGCCGCUGCCGCCGCCACAACCAUCGUUGUUAUCGUGUCCGUGGCCGGUGCACCCGAUCGUGCUGAAGGCGUCGCGUGCCCCGCAUGUAGUGCUGCUAACAUCUGGCGUUGUGGAUGCGCACGAGCUGCCGCUCGCCCACCAGCUCGGCGUGAAGCUCAACGCGUGUGGGGUGCACAAUGUCAGCAUACUGCGUGGCGGUGUCGCCAGCGUGCGGCGUGCGCUACCGGAGCUGGUGGUGCGUCGUGCGCCAUCCACGUAGAGGGCGUGCUCGGUUUCUGCUUGCUUGCUCGGCCCCGCCGCCGCCGGCGCCGGCCUUGCCUCCAGUUUGAAAGACGAUGCAAAUCGCUCACCUAACGGCUCGCCCGCCUUUCCGCUCGAGGGCUAUAGCUAUCUACCUAUAUAUAUAUAUACGUCAUCAUGCGCCUCGCGGACAUGGUGGCAGUGGGGGGGGGGGUUGCUUCACGGAGGCAAGGGCCGCUGUCCUCUGCUGCUUCCCUUUCCACCGGCCACCACGGCCGCACACGGGCGACCACGUGACCCUGUACCACUACUCGAGCGACCGCCGAUGUCGAUGGUUCUACGAGCAACCCUGCACGCCCUCUCCUCCAUCUCGCCCCCUCUGGCCGGUGUGCGCACGCGUUUCCGUCUGUGCCUACGCGUGCGCGUACUCGGGCACACACACACACACACACACACACACACGUAUCCGCCAG
rnacentral:misc_RNA from 1 species